AGGAGUAUAGAUCAGGGGUAGAGCGCUGGCUUCGCAUCCGAGAGGUCUGGGGUUUGAUUCCCCACACCUCCA